CCUGCAUGUGGCAAGCGCUCAGAACAGGCUACCUCCUCUUAACUGGUCAUUGCGUGUCUUUGACUCUAACCGCAAGGUGGCUGGUUGGAUUUUGCCCAUCGCCUCCACCCCCAGGCCCAUACGUACAACCUGCCGGCCACUCGGAGCUCCUAAGCCUGCCACCAGUCUUCUCUCCAGGAACCUCUCCUGGGGACAGUUAGAGGGGCGGAGCGUGUCCCAGCCAAAGACACAGCUCCGUGGCACUUUGAAACACCACUUUCCUCGGCUUCCGGAAAACCAGCGAAAUCUAUUCACGAUGGGGAAGGGCCGUGCCUUUGCAGCCACCGUUGGAACUCCUAUGGCAAAGGGCACUGCCUGGCAUGCUUGUACGUGCUCAAAAAAAAAAAAAAAAAUUUUUUUUUUUUUUUGAAUGAACACACCGUUAAACCAACAAAAUAAAAAAUAUAUAA